CGGAGAGAGUAACUGAUAAGAUACAAAGAUUCAGAAAUUAAGUACAAACUGGUACUUGAGAAAAGUAAAGAUUACGUUAACAAUCCUCCUCAUAAGGGCCUCUCAAUUGUGUCUUACGAACUUCAAAUCCAUCACACUGCAACCCACAAUCAGCCGCUGAACCCACAGUAACCUGGAUCAUCCUCUUUGUCUUCAGUAUUUCCAACUUUAAACCAAUCAAAUUGGAACCGUCAAUCAGCCACAAACCACUUCUGGAACAACCUUAAUCUUCAAUCUUUACACCACCAUAGGUACAUAGAACCUUACCCUAUUAUUAUCUUACACUUACCAGAACUCAAGAAAGGGAGCCAAUUCGCUUUCUGAAUCCAGACAAAAACAUGCUUGUCAAUAGGGUGGUUCAAUUUUUUCCUACGUUUGUCUAAAAUAAAGUGCUUGCCUUUGUUUUUGUUGCAGAGUGAAAUAAGCACAUUUGCAAACACAAUACCUUUCCCUUAACUUAAAAACCUAGACAUCGCUCUAAAACCACGAGUAUACAAGCAUUUGAAUAAACUCAAAGCUUUGGUUGUGCUGUGUGUGAAUUAGUAUGAUUUAAAGCAAGUUUUUGAGGUUAUACUAACCAGCUUUACCUUAUAUGAUUAUAUACUAACAAGCGCUUGACUAAGCUUUAAUGUUUGGCCGUGCCGUGUAUGAUUACAAGUUCUCCAAGAGUUUGGGAUCAGACUAACGUGCAAAUACAAAUAAUCAGCACAGCAAGAGCCUCUGAUAAUAUGUUCGUAUUUUCGCAUCAUUUCCCAAACACAGAAGAACCAAGAUACUUCAGUUUUAUUCAAACAGACAAACACACACAAAACUCAAUAGAAAUAGAAAUUGUAAACAGCCUUACGGUAACAAUAUGCUUAUAUAUUCAAGGAAUAAAAGCAAACUGUGUCGCAAUUACUGUUUUAGAAAACACUUUUUGUUUUCCGCCCUACAAACGAGAUGCCCAGCCAAAGAUAUAUGUGGCAGGGCAUCAGAUACCAUGGGCAGACAACUAAAGAUAAAAACCAUAAUCACAAAUAUUUGCAAAUUUGUCUUUGAUUAGCAAUAUUUUUAAAAAAAGAAGCAAUUAUUGGUUUCACUACUUCGUUCACAUUGCAAUCUCAGCCGAAAGAUGGUGAAUUUAUUUAUGCAUUAAUCACCGAAAUAUCAGCACAAUUAACAUUCAUCCCAGAUUGCACAGUAAUGACAUAAUAUCAAAACAUUAAUACAAAUAUUAUUGUAAAACUAACUAUGAUUAUGAGUAUUGAAAAAGGGUAAAAAAAAAAAAAAUGAAGGAGAGAUCAGAUGGUAGUGCAUGUUUGUUUCAUCAUCCAUUACUUACAGAAUAGAAUGGGUAAAUCAUCAUCACGCCUCUCCUAAUAAAGUAAGAACAACGUAGAAAAACAUUGGAAACAAAUAAAAAUCGCUGCAAUUUGAGGAAAAUCAAUUAAAAGGACAAAUGGAAUGCGAAUCAGAUGGUAAGAUAAAAGUGUCUAUCACCAUCAAGCAUCUAGAGAGAUGCUUGUAAGACUGGGGCGACAACAGUACUCAUCAUGUUCGAUUCCAUGCGCCCUAGAGAGAGAGAGAGAGAGAGAGAGAGAGAGCGUAUUUCUGGGUGCUUCGAAGGAAGAGUGGGAUUUCGAUUGGGAGAUUUGAAGUAGGAGAGGGGGUGGUUCUGGUAUAUAUAAAGAAGAAACAUUAGGGUUUAGAUCCUAAAUAGAAUGGGCCAAGAUUAAGGUCCACCUGAUAUGAGUACGUUAAUUUGGCCCACAAAGCUUUAACUCGUCCAGGCCCAUUAAAGGGGCCUCAAAAAUGAGGAGCAAAAUGUUUUAUUAUGAAUGUGGCUGCUGGGAUUCGAGCCCAGGUCUCCACGGCCACAACGUGGAAUUCUUACCACUAAACUACAGCCACUUUGUUGUGCAACGUUCUUUAAACAUUUUAUAUAGACUAUGUUAGAGGUACAGCUAUUGGAAAAAAUUUCUAAUGCAUUUGCCAGUUAUUGGUUUGUGCUGGUAGGGUUAGACUUGAGAUAGCCUAUACGGCCAUAUAUUUUUGUGAGGGUUUUGUUUUUAAUUUCUUUUUUAAAUCAAGGAAGAUUUUCAAGAAAAGUCCGACGACAUAGAGGCUUUUGUUCUUUUUUUUUUUCUCCGGUCAAUAGCGAAAGAGCUUUGGUUAUCAUUGAUUUUCAUCCUUGUAUUUUAGAGGUUUUCAGUUUAUUUGGAGAAUGCUCAUGUGAUAUUUGGAGCAUGUACACCUCGCAAUAGGCAUUUUACCUACCCAACAGUCCGCAUUUUUCAUUUUACCUACUCGAAUCUUUCUCAACCCUACGUCAAUCCUCUCUAUUAUCAUCUACAUCUUUAUAAAAUACUAUAUAAAAUAUUAUUCAAUUUUAGUAGAGAGAGAGAGGAGAGAGAGAGAGAGAGAGAGAAUUAAAUACUCAAAACAAAGGGACACCAAUGAAUAGUUUGUUUGGUAUUUAUACCGAAGUUUUUUCAGAAAGGAAAAGUACCAAAGGGGUUAGCUAAGCUGCUGCAACCUAUGUUUUGGUGUGUUAAUAGGUAAAAUGGCUACAAAUCGUCAUUUUGCUAUUUUGGUGUACAUGCUCUUAAACUUUUGGUUGGAGCUUUACAAAAUUGAAGUACUUGUCGAAGAAAAAAAGGUAAAUAUAAAUUUAUCCACGGUUUACCAGAAAAGUUCAUUAUUAUGCAAUCAUUUCACAAGGGGGAAGGGAUAUCUAACAACGGCUCUAUGCCUAGAUACGAAUUCUCUCCUCCUCCUCUCACCACUAAUCCAGGUUUUUUCUGGCUUAUAAAUCCCACUCAAUUACAUACAAUCACAUCUGAUAUUUAUCCCUUUUAUAUUCCAUGAUAUUGUGACAAAGUCUGUUCAUCAAUCCUAUAUGGCCAAAUACAGGGCACACCCAAACUUUUCGGGGGCUUAAAGCAAAGAAAACGAUAGGUUUUUUUUUUUUUUUUAAAGCUACUACAAAGGGUACCAAAGUAUGAGGACCCUAAAAUUCGUAAAUCUUUUGCAGGCCUAAAGUGGUCAUAUCUCAGUUUUUUGCUCAAGACCGGCUCUGUGGCCAAAUUGGAGUUAGAAGCAUUUGUUUAUGGGUUUUUUAGAAAUUUGAAAUUUUAACGCCUGAAGAGUUGGCUGCCAAACAACAAAACUAAGAAAAUGGGCAUAAAACCAAAGCAGACACAAGGUUUUUUUAUUUUAUAUAUUUUAAUGUGAUUUGUUUUAUGCAAAUACUGGAGUAAUAAAUAAGGAAAACUACAGUACUCAUUGAUGACAUAAAGUCACUUUAUAAAUACCAGGAUAAACACACUACAACAGAGCAAAAGGUACAUCAAAUAAACACACUUCAACGUCAAGCCACGCAGAGCCAUAGGUACAUCAAAUGAAACUCCAAAUACAUAUAUUAGCACACACCACAAGUGCAGAACGCCACACACCAUUGCACACCAGAAAAGGAUUAUUGGUGAACUCCUACGGCCACAAUAUAUAAACUGGACUUCCCCAUGUUGCCCAGUUUCAUGGCUUACUUCUUUGAAGGUGGCGAGAGAGGGAAGGUGGGAAUGGUUGGGAAGGGCGUGGUCGCUGGUAAGGUGAAUUUGGGAAAUGGUGGCAGUUUUGGCAGAGAUGGUAUGGCCUCAACGGGUAUGAUAGGAGUCGGUGUGGCCAAAAGAUGACGAGCAGCAUCGCACCUUUCAGUGCUUGCAAUGCAGAGAAGUGCGAAGGUAAGUACGUAAAGGUAACCGCUGGAAGCCAUUGUCAAGCAGAAUGAAGGACAAGGAAGUUAUGGAAGGAUACUGAGAAACAAAGGAAAAAGCAAAGAGGGUAAAUUUGGAUUGUGAU